CCUACGGGAGGCAGCAGUGGGGAAUAUUGGACAAUGGGGGGAACCCUGAUCCAGCCAUGCCGCGUGUGUGAAGAAGGCCCUCGGGUUGUAAAGCACUUUCAGUGAGGAAGAACGCCUGGUGGUUAAUACCCAUCAGGAAAGACAUCACUCACAGAAGAAGCACCGGCUAACUCCGUGCCAGCAGCCGCGGUAAUACGGAGGGUGCGAGCGUUAAUCGGAAUUACUGGGCGUAAAGCGCGCGUAGGUGGCUUGAUAAGCCGGUUGUGAAAGCCCCGGGCUCAACCUGGGAACGGCAUCCGGAACUGUCAAGCUAGAGUGCAGGAGAGGAAGGUAGAAUUCCCGGUGUAGCGGUGAAAUGCGUAGAGAUCGGGAGGAAUACCAGUGGCGAAGGCGGCCUUCUGGACUGACACUGACACUGAGGUGCGAAAGCGUGGGUGGCAAACAGGAUUAGAUACCCUAGUAGUC
rnacentral:rRNA from 1 species